GGACCAUGACAGCGAGCUCCGCUUCACGCAGCUCUGUGUCAAAGAUGGAGGUGGAGGUGGUAUUAGAGAUAUCUUUAAACAAAACAUCAGCUGUCGAGUCUCAUUCAUCAGUCGGACACCUGGGGAGUGGUGAGCAGGAAUGGGGCUCUGGCAGGUCGGCCUGGCUGAGCCCCCUGCAGAGAAAUGAAAGGAGUAGGACUGGCUGAUCAGCCCCCGGUAAAAUCAGGCAUUUGCCCUUUGAAAGUAGCUCUUGGUUGCACAAACAUUCCAGCUGCCUCUCUCACCCUAUGCUGCUCGGAUGCUCGGCUCUCUCCCUGCCGCUCCAGGCCAGAAUCAUUCUACAAAACAAAUUAUGAGAUCCUAUUCAUUUUGCGCCUUACCCCCUGCCUGGUACCAGGAGCCACUCCCUACCUCUACCCCAUGCUCUGCCCUGGGAGUUGUUCUCCUGGCUGCAAAGACAAGGGGAGAACAGCCCCAUUUCUUUUUC
rnacentral:sRNA from 1 species